UACAGAGGUGGCAAGCGUUGUUCGGAAUUACUGGGCGUAAAGGGUGCGUAGGCGGCCUUCUAAGUCAGACGUGAAAUCCCCAGGCUUAACUUGGGAACUGCGUCUGAUACUGGGAGGCUUGAGUGCGGGAGAGGGAUGUGGAAUUCCAGGUGUAGCGGUGAAAUGCGUAGAUAUCUGGAGGAACACCGGUGGCGAAGGCGGCAUCCUGGACCGACACUGACGCUGAGGCGCGAAAGCUAGGGGAGCAAGCGGG
rnacentral:rRNA from 1 species